rnacentral:rRNA from 1 species
CCUACGGGUGGCAGCAGUCGGGAAUAUUGCGCAAUGGAGGAAACUCUGACGCAGUGACGCCGCGUGCAUGAAGAAGGUUUUCGGAUUGUAAACUUCUUUUGACAGGGAAGAAACAAGUGACAGUACCUGUAGAAUAAGCCUCGGCUAACUACGUGCCAGCAGCCGCGGUAAUACGUAGGAGGCGAGCGUUAUCCGGAUUGAUUGGGCGUAAAGGGUGCGUAGAUGGUUAGUCAAGUUAGUUGCGAAAUCCCAAGGCUUAACCUUGGAAUUACUACUAAAACUGUUAGACUUGAGUGCUGGAGGGGCAAGCGGAAUUCCUAGUGUAGCGGUGGAAUGCGUAGAUAUUAGGAAGAACACCAGUGGCGAAGGCGGCUUUCUGGACAGUAACUGACGUUGAGGCACGAAAGUGUGGGGAGCAAACAGGAUUAGAUACCCGAGUAGUC